CCUGUUUGACGAAAUAGUGAUUGGAUAAUUGGUCAGUUAAUUGUUUGUCUGCUGUGAUUGGCUAAACUAUGGUUACUCCCAGGUUUAUUUGAACCUCUUCCAUCCACCACACUAGCACGGAACGUUUGUCUUUCUUGUACAAGUUCCAUUAACACUCAUCAGUAUGACCGUGGAGUGCAGCUACACAAUCGAAAAGGACACCGCCGGCGGUUUUGAGGUAGCUGAAGUGGCAAAUGAUGAUAAAGUUGUGGUGAAGAGAGACAGUGUGCUUACCACUGUACUCUGUCGCAUAUCACAGUUUUGGCCGGUCAGACUAACGAUGCGUGCAUUCCGUGGGUUUUGGUUGCUGCUGGGUUUCUCCCCUUCAGAAGAGAAGUCCUCUGCUGCCCCAGAAGACGGUGACUGCACUAGUCCAGCCCGUCAGUGCCUGGCAGGCCGCAAGCGCCUCAGUCGAGUCUCCCGCAUAUUAUUGGCCAUCCUGCCCCGCCGUAUGCAGAGGGCCCUGGGCUACCCUGUCUGCACCAGCAUUGGCUGCUCAGUAUCCCCAGAGGUGCGAGUGUCUCCCACUAAACCAUGUGGGAAGGGCAACAAGAGGAAGCAGGAUGACCUAGAUGAUGAUGAUGAGGAUGAUGAGGAUGAGCAGACCUGGGUUGAGGCACUCACUCAGGAGCUAGCGGAUGAUGAUGCGCCUUCUGUUGAUCCUGACUUUGAGCCGAGUGCAGUGGAGACUGAUAGUGAGGAGUAUAAUUCUCACAAUGACACAGAAAGUGACAUAGAAGUAUCUGAGAAGGGUGUGGUCGUGAUCGAAGAUGUUAAAACGGAUAUUCCAUGAAGCAUAAUGUCCUUUCAGGUAUAGUUAAGCGGUCUGUCUACUAUGGAUUAGGUGCUCUUCCAUAAGUUUUAUCACGACUUGUAAGCUUUCAGUGGUGCCAGUAUGCACUGUUUUGUAUGUUUGUUCAAUGUGAUGUACAUUUCUACCACUUUUCCCUAAAUAAAAUAUUCUCAUCUUUA